UACGGAGGGUGCGAGCGUUGUCCGGAAUCACUGGGCGUAAAGGGCGCGUAGGCGGCCUGGCAAGUCGAUGGUGAAAGCCCGUGGCUCAACUACGGGUCGGCCAUUGAUACUGCUAGGCUCGAGUCGACUAGAGGCAGAUGGAAUUCCGGGUGUAGCGGUGGAAUGCGUAGAGAUCCGGAAGAACACCGGUGGCGAAGGCGGUUAGCUGGGCAGUUGCUGACACUGAGGCGCGACAGCGUGGGGAGCAAACAGG
rnacentral:rRNA from 1 species